GCUCCCAGAGCUCCGUUGGUAGAGCGCGGCUCUGAUAAAGCCGAGGUCCCGGGUUCGAACCCCGGUGGGAGUA
rfam:Ectocarpus siliculosus strain Ec 32, whole genome shotgun sequence assembly, chromosome LG15